ensembl:rRNA 5S_rRNA 5S ribosomal RNA
GGCAUCAGCCAUGUCACCCUGCAGCCCAAAGACUGGUUACUCACUGAAGCUAAGCGGGUCUGAGACUGGUCAGUAUCUGGAUGGGAGACCACAUGGGAAAACUAUGUUGCUGUUGGAA